GUUACUUCAUGUGUUAGGACAAUUUUAAUUGUUAAAUUUUCAAUUUAAAUAUAUUUUUUAAUCAAUUAUAGUUGAGUGACACACAAAAUUUAUACAUUUUUUGGGACAAAAAUAUGGUCUCACAUUCAUCCCUGUUAUGCCAUGUAAGUAAGGCGUUUUUUUAUAAAUCAUUUUUCUUUAUAACUUAAGUCACACAAAGCUUUUUAUCAUACUCAUAUGCUUUAACUUUUACACUCUAUUUGGAUGUAUUGAAAAUAAGGGGAAUGAAAAAGGAAAGAGGAGAGAAUGAAUGAAUUUAUUUGUUUUCACUUUUUAGGUUGACAAAGAAAAAUGGACCGCAGAUAUAAAACCAUAUGGGACCCAAAAAAACAUUUCUAGUGGAGAGAAUAUGUUGAGAAACUAACCAUUAAAUUAAAUUUACAAUCUUACCCGUAAAAAAAUCAUGAAUGGAGUAUUGUAGUGUAGUAUACAAUAGAUGAAGUGGCAUGAUGAAUG
rnacentral:lncRNA from 1 species